rnacentral:rRNA from 1 species
GACGAACGCUGGCGGCGUGCCUAAUACAUGCAAGUAGAACGCUGAAGGAGGAGCUUGCUCUUCUGGAUGAGUUGCGAACGGGUGAGUAACGCGUAGGUAACCUGCCUGGUAGCGGGGGAUAACUAUUGGAAACGAUAGCUAAUACCGCAUAAGAGUAGAUGUUGCAUGACAUUUGCUUAAAAGGUGCAAUUGCAUCACUACCAGAUGGAUCUGCGUUGUAUUAGCUAGUUGGUGGGGUAACGGCUCACCAAGGCGACGAUACAUAGCCGACCUGAGAGGGUGAUCGGCCACACUGGGACUGAGACACGGCCCAGACUCCUACGGGAGGCAGCAGUAGGGAAUCUUCGGCAAUGGACGGAAGUCUGACCGAGCAACGCCGCGUGAGUGAAGAAGGUUUUCGGAUCGUAAAGCUCUGUUGUAAGAGAAGAACGAGUGUGAGAGUGGAAAGUUCACACUGUGACGGUAUCUUACCAGAAAGGGACGGCUAACUACGUG